rnacentral:tRNA from 1 species
UAAUGAGUUUAAUACAAGUCUUCUAAAUUUGUUUUAGGUUAUACCUGCUCAUUUUU